GUACGAGUAGUAGGUAGUUGUACGUCUCGGCGUCAGACGAACGACGUGUCGGGCGACGCCUACCAACAUAGUCAAGUACGAACGGAACGUUAAACGGUAAGGACUGUCUCUGUUUUAAGUUAGUGGCGGACGGGUGAGUAACACGUGAGCAACCUGCCUUUCUGAGGGGGAUAACGUUUGGAAACGAACGCUAAUACCGCAUAACAUAUAUUUAUCGCAUGAUAGAUAUAUCAAAGGAGCAAUCCGCAGAAAGAUGGGCUCGCGUCUGAUUAGCUAGUUGGUGAGGUAAUGGCUCACCAAGGCAACGAUCAGUAGCCGGACUGAGAGGUUGAACGGCCACAUUGGGACUGAGACACGGCCCAGACUCCUACGGGAGGCAGCAGUGGGGAAUAUUGCACAAUGGGGGAAACCCUGAUGCAGCGAUGCCGCGUGGAGGAAGAAGGUUUUCGGAUUGUAAACUCCUGUCUUCAGGGACGAUAAUGACGGUACCUGAGGAGGAAGCACCGGCUAACUACGUG
rnacentral:rRNA from 1 species